GAACUUGAUUUACAUUUUAGAGAGUAAAUCUAACAUGCAGGUCUAAUUUUAAUACAGUCAUAGAACACCCUCAUGAGAAAUGUGAAAUGAAGAUGCAAACAUAAAUGGGUUUACUGCAUUUAAAAAAAAAAAAAAUUAUUAAAUAAUACCGCAUACUUUUGGAAGCAGGGUCACAUGACUGCUGGGCCAGAAAACAGCAGCAGAACAGGUGUGCUAACUGGGCAGCUCACACAGGUGCCUUGAGUGUUCUUUGUUCUGUGUCCUGAGCUCAUUCUCUGUUUGCCCUUCAGCUGAGCUGGUUCCCUCUGUCCUUUAACCUUUGUUCCUGAGUGUGUUAAUUGCCGUCACAUUAAAUGAGUCAACCACUUACACUUCUGCAAUUAUGCUACUGGAAACCAAUCCUCACAAAUUUCAACAGACAUAGACUUUAAAUAAAGAUGGACAUGGACUCUAUGACAUCACCCAUAGGUGUCUGAAGAGCGGUUUUGAAGCUCAGAGCGAGCUGCUCUGCCACUGCCAUCUUGCCAGUAUCGGAUUCCACCAGACUCCCUGCUAAUCCAAAAAUGGGCAAAGAGGAGGGGUGCAUGUGGACCUGAGACUUCAGUGCAUGCCGGUUAGUGGGAAGCAUAUGCUCACCUACCUGUCACUCAAAGUAGCACACCCUCAAUUUUGCAGAACAACAGUAGAGUUGUCAUGGAAGGGGACAUUAGCUAUAGAGACCCAAACCGUUCUUUGUACCAGGCUGUAAACACGUUUAUUUCUGCUGUGAAGUUGGGCAUUUUUAACAUGGGAGUCAACAGGAAUUAACUCGCUUUUGGAACCAAAAAUCUCUCUUGAUGGAGACAUACCUGAUGCUACAUCAAGCUAAAAGACUGACACUGAAGCUAAAGCUGCAUGUCCCACACACAAAACAAAAUCAGCAUCCUCGCCAGUUGAUUAUCCAUGUAGUUAGUCCUACUAUUGUAAGAUUAGGCUGUUUUUAUUUUGACGUUAUAAGAAAAAUGAUGCGGGAGAGGAUGAGGACUCGCCAGUGUGUGUUGCAAACAUGUAAACUUCAGAUGAGUAGGAGGCAACAAAUACACCACUUGCUUGAUCUCUUUUGUGGGAAUCCCCCAAAUGUCACAUUUCUUUAAAGACAGAAGUACAUUCGGUUUUUAAAGAACACUGUUUAAUCCAUUCCUUACACUUCUUGAGUUUUUGGUUUUGCAAGAGUUGAAAUGAGCUUCAUGCACACUGCUUCAAGGUGUUGAGAAAUCCAAGGUCUGACAGGUCUGCUCAGCCGUGCGAUGCUUUGAUUGGACACUCACUGUUUGGAGGAGGGAUUUCGAUCAAUAUCCUGUUCCCUCCUGCAUCUGUCUCCUGCUUUGGUAAAUAAUAAGUUGUACUUACCUGUGAAUAUGCACCAUGGUCUUUCAUGACUCCCUAAUGUGAAAGGAUGCUGCAUUUAAUCAGAAUCACUCUCUAUUCCAGGCACAGCUGCUGUAGAUUCCCUCUCACCUUGGAGGGACACAAAUGCGUUUGGCAAAUUAAAGCUUCUAUUGACCUGGUUGUCUGUCUCUGUGCCUCAGUCCUCAACAGUCUUUCUUAUCUUGGCAAAACAAUCCCACCACAUUCAUAGUGGUCAUGAAUGAAUUAUCUUGACCUUGUUCAUUUUAAGUAGGAUGUGUAGUAGAUGAUUGCACAGAUAACAGUUCUCUGCUUCACUCAUAUAUCAAAAUAAACCUGACUGGAUGAAUACACCA